AUGCCUUGCUACGUGACCUUGGGGCCGGAAGGGCGGGUGGCCGCCAGGUGUCUGUGCCUCAGUGUCUCCGUUCUGCGAAAUGGGAGAGCCGCGUCAGCGCCGCGCCCGGGCCGGCGAAGGCUCCGCGGGGCCGAGCUCUGCGGAAAACGUGCCGGCCGCUACCCCGACGGACGCAGCGCGGGCCCCGCAGGGAGCGAGCGCGCCUCCGGGCGCCCCACCUCGGGGCCGCGUGUGUGCCGGGCCGGGCGUCAGCGCAGCCUCGCACGGACGGCGGUGGGGCCCGUAGCCCUCCCCCACCGCCCGGGUCAAGACGCGCGGGCCCCUCCAGGGCGCCCCCACCCCCCGCGCCAACGUCGCAGCGUUUCUGCCCCUUACCAAGAUCCCAGGCUGGCUGCCGAGCUGGCCACGCAGGCCGUCCCGUCUCUCGAGGCCGCGCGUCCGUGCGCGCGCGGGCCGCCCUCACAGGAGCCGGGGCCGCCUCGGCCAUGGCCCUGCGCUGUCCGACCCGGGCCCCCGGAGUCGCCGCCGCUACUGCCGCCGCCGCCGCCGCCGCUGCCGCUGUUGCGCGCGGCCCCACGCAGGCCCGGCCGCCCGGCGCUCUCCGCAGGCGGCGCCGGCCCAGCCCUGCCUCCUCUGCCGGGACUCGCGCGCGGCCGUCGGCCCCGGCCUGCCGGGGCGCGCGGGCGAGCGGGCGCGGGCCGCGGAGCCCGGGCGGCGGCGUCGGAGCGGGCGCGCGGCUGUGCGUGGAUGCCCUGGCCGGCUGCGUCCCGGUGGCGAGCUGGGCCCCGGCCCUCAACGGCCCCGGCCCGCGCGCCGCCUCUGCGCCGCGGCUGGGGACCUCGGUUUCGCCCCGGCCCCGGCUGCGAGCUGCGCUGCCGUCCCGGCGCCUCUUCAGCAGGGGAGCUGCACAGCAGCUGCCAUGUUGCUACAAACUGCAUCCUGGGAGGCAUGUCCCUCUCAGGCCGUUUAAAGAGAAACACUCCGAGGCUCGUCGGAGGCUGCCGGAACCCAGACAGCUCCAUCUACAGCCGGUAG
rnacentral:lncRNA from 1 species